UGAGGAAUAUUGGUCAAUGGUCGCAAGACUGAACCAGCCAUGCCGCGUGCAGGAAGACGGUCCUAUGGAUUGUAAACUGCUUUUAUACAGGAAGAAACCCUCCCACGUGUGGGAGCUUGACGGUACUGUAGGAAUAAGGAUCGGCUAACUCCGUGCCAGCAGCCGCGGUAAUACGGAGGAUCCAAGCGUUAUCCGGAAUCAUUGGGUUUAAAGGGUCCGUAGGCGGUCUUAUAAGUCAGUGGUGAAAGCCCAUCGCUCAACGAUGGAACUGCCAUUGAUACUGUAAGACUUGAAUGCUUAGGAAGUAACUAGAAUAUGUAGUGUAGCGGUGAAAUGCUUAGAUAUUACAUGGAAUACCAAUUGCGAAGGCAGGUUACUACUAAGUGAUUGACGCUGAUGGACGAAAGCGUGGGGAGCGAACAGGAUUAGAUACCCUGGUAGUCCACGCCGUAAACGAUGGAUACUAGCUGUUCGGCGCAAGUUGAGUGGCUAAGCGAAAGUGAUAAGUAUCCCACCUGGGGAGUACGCACGCAAGUGUGAAACUUAAAGGAAUUGACGGGGUCAUAGCUGUUUCC
rnacentral:rRNA from 1 species